UACGAAGGGGGCUAGCGUUGCUCGGAAUCACUGGGCGUAAAGCGCACGUAGGCGGACUCUUAAGUCGGUGGUGAAAUCCUGGAGCUCAACUCCAGAACUGCCUUCGAUACUGAGAGUCUCGAGUCCGGGAGAGGUGAGUGGAACUGCGAGUGUAGAGGUGAAAUUCGUAGAUAUUCGCAGGAACACCAGUGGCGAAGGCGGCUUACUGGUCCAUAACUGACGCUGAGGUGCGAAAGCGUGGGGAGCAAACAGG
rnacentral:rRNA from 1 species